rnacentral:ncRNA from 3 species
UACGUAGGUGGCAAGCGUUGUCCGGAAUUAUUGGGCGUAAAGCGCGCGCAGGCGGUUCUUUAAGUUGGGUGUUAAAGGCAGCGGCUCAACCGCUGUUCGCACCCAAAACUGGGGAACUUGAGUGCAGGAGAGGAUAGUGGAAUUCCCGGUGUAGCGGUGGAAUGCGUAGAGAUCGGGAGGAACACCAGUGGCGAAGGCGACUGUCUGGCCUGCAACUGACGCUGAGGCGCGAAAGCGUGGGGAGCAAACAGG